UACGGGGGGGGCAAGCGUUGUUCGGAAUUACUGGGCGUAAAGGGCUCGUAGGUGGCCAACUAAGUCAGACGUGAAAUCCCUCGGCUUAACCGGGGAACUGCGUCUGAUACUGGAUGGCUUGAGUUCGGGAGAGGGAUGCGGAAUUCCAGGUGUAGCGGUGAAAUGCGUAGAUAUCUGGAGGAACACCGGUGGCGAAGGCGGCAUCCUGGACCGACACUGACACUGAGGAGCGAAAGCGUGGGGAGCGAACAGG
rnacentral:rRNA from 1 species